UGAUGACAGGUGGCGGUGAUUAGUACUCAAGGGAAUGGGCUCGACGUCAAGGUGGCCGACCUCCGCUGCAAGUUGCAGGACUAUCAGGAUGUCUCUCGUGGAAGGAAUAUGGAUACACACCUAAAAGGUUCCACCCUUAUUGCCUGCAGAAACAAGAUACAGUUCAAAGAACUAGAUGACCUUUUGUGACACGGGGACAAUGUUGUCACACUAUAGGAGCUAUUCAACUGGAUCCAAGCCUCGCUAGUCUCUGAGUUCACCCAGUGUAGCAGAGGACCUGACCAAGCAUGGAUCCAGCAAUACGCUUUAUCAAACUCUCACAGGUGAAUGUUCCCUGAUGCUCCACACUAGAGAGUUUCUGGACAUUGCUAAUUUAACAAACUUUCCGGAUUUUGCUGUCAUAGAUCUCAUUUGGACAGGACUAACCAAUCUCACAAUUUUAGUCAAAGGACUAAAGUCACAACUUCAAUCACACUUAUACCCACUAAUGGUCCUUGAGGGAGCCUUUGUCAGUAUAUGGACCUAGCCCUCGAGCUAAGCGGAUCUCCCUUCACUGUGGGAGUGGUGGAGAAAGAACCGGCGACUAACCCACGGGAAACCCCAAACACGGACCUUGGUCUACCACUGAUCUCAGUGCGUGUCCCCAAGUCCAGUGGUCCCAGUGCUUCGAGGAUGUUUUUCUUUGGUUCCUGGACUUCCCUUGUAUCUGUUUCUUUGCUUAUCUUCCUUCUUUUGUUUCCUUAUUAAACCCUAUUUUGCAAAUGUAAGCUCGCUUGUCUCUGAGUUCACCCAACGUAACACUCUUAUGUUUAUUUUUCUGGCAUCUAUAAAGCCCUGUACUGUAUAUGACAGUUAGAUUUCUUACUGGGGCCAUCUAGGGGCCAGUAAACCUUAUCACAGUUCACUACAGUAAACUUGCAAAGUCUGAGAAGUGCUUAUUGCACACACAGUAUUCUUCUUAUUGUCACUGUAUUGUUGUUCAUUGUUACAUAAAGUCAUUUUUAUUUUAUUUCUGGCAGACAAAUGCUGUUGUUCGAAUAGCUAAUUCAAUCUCUAAAGACAAGAAAUAUGUAUUAUUGUAUGUAUUAUUGUUUUAUAAUAUGUAUUUUUAGCUUGAGAAGAGAGAGACUUACGUACCUUAUUCAAUACCUCUCCUCAUCCCUAUCUAAUCAUUGUUGUCUUUUUUCCUCCAAUCACACUGAUACACAAAAGGAGGCCAUUCGCCAAGCUAUCUCCAUGGAAACAAGAGAGAUGGUUUGGGAAAGCCCACUUCAGAGCAUCCUUUACAUUUGUGUGAUCUGGACCCUGAUUACAAAUGAACCAGGCUUAAACAAAACAAAAAAAAAACAAACAAAACGAAAGAAAGAAAAAGUUCAAGGCCUGAUGUGUAACCUACACAACACUUUAGAAGGGCUUCAGGAGAGAAGACAGAGCCAUUUUUCUUGGGGUUUCCUGGGACAGCCUGAUUUGAGGUCCAUGGGGGAGGAUGAGGGGUCUGACAGUAAACAAUUACAAGUGUCUUUUUAUGUGUUCUCAGUUCAUUUCACCUUUGGAGUCACCAGCAAAUAAUGAAAAAUGAGAGGUUUACACAGCAGGAUGACAGCCACAUCAUUGUUCAAUUGUGUGUCUAGGUUUGGGCAUGUAGAGAGACUGGCAUUCAAUAAAGACCGUCA